rnacentral:tRNA from 1 species
UAUUUAGAUAGUUUUAAUAAAAAUGUUUGUUUGUGAUUCAAAAGUUAACUAAUAUUUCUAAAUAA